AUAAGAUAUCAAGGGCAACAGGUGAAUGCCUUGGCGCUGAGAGGCGAUGAAAGACGCGGUAAGCUGCGAUAAGCAUCGGGGAGGAGCUAAACAUCCUACGAUCCGAUGAUUUCUGAAUGGGGAAACCCGAUGGGAGUCAUGUCCCAUCAUCCUGAGCUGAAUACAUAGGCCCAGAGAAGCCAACCCGGGGAAGUGAAACAUCUCAGUACCCGGAGGAAGAGAAAUCAAACGAGACUCCCAAAGUAGCGGCGAGCGAAAUGGGAAGAGCCCAAACCGGGUGGUUUCGACCAUUCGGGGUUGUAGGGCCGGCAUACGCGAUUCUGGAGUAGGCAGAGGAAGUGAGCUGGAAAGCUCCGCCACAGCGGGUGAUAGCCCCGUACUCGAAACCGAAAAGGACGCAGCCGGUACCUGAGUACUGCGAGGCACGUGAAACCUCGUGGGAAUCUAGGGGGACCAUCCUCUAAGGCUAAGUACUCCUCAGCGACCGAUAGUGAACUAGUACCGUGAGGGAAAGGUGAAAAGAACCCCUGUUAGGGGAGUGAAAUAGAAUCUGAAACCUGUUGCCUACAAGCUGCGAGAGCUACUUCGGUAGUGAUCGCGUGCCUUUUGUAUAAUGAGUCAGCGAGUUACUCUACCGUGCGAGGUUAAGCGAAAGCGUAGCCGUAGUGAAAGCGAGGCUUAAUAGGCCGACUAGUACGUUGGAGUAGACCCGAAACCGGGUGAUCUAUCCAUGAGCAGGUUGAAGCAAGGGUAAAGCCUUGUGGAGGACCGAACCGUCAACGGCUGAAAACGUUCCGGAUGACUUGUGGAUAGGGGUGAAAGGUCAAUCAAACCCGGUGAUAGCUGGUUCUCCCCGAAAUAUAUUGAGGUAUAGCCUCGGGAAUUGAUUAGCGGAGGUAAAGCACUGACAGAGCUAGGGGUCCUACCAGAUUACCAAACUCUAUCAAACUCAGAAUGCCGCUUAAUUGUAUCCCGGGAGUCAGACGGCGGGUGCGAAGGUUCGUCGUCAAAAGGGAAACAGCCCAGACCAACAGCUAAGGUCUCCAAAUCCAUGCUCAGUGGUGAAGGUAGUGGAACCGUUCAGACAGCCAGGACGUUGGCUUAGAAGCAGCCAUCGUUUAAAGAAAGCGUAAUAGCUCACUGGUCUAAUGGCUCUGCGCCGAAAAUGUAACGGGGCUAAGCAUGGUACCGAAGCUUUGGCAAUCUCCUUUGGAGAUUGGGUAGGGGAGCGUUCGCUGCGGGCUGAAGGUGUGCCGGAAGGCAUGCUGGACUGCAGUGAAGUGAUUAUGCUGACAUGAGUAACGAUAAAAUAUGUGAAAAACAUAUUCGCCGAAAACCCGAGGUUUCCUGGGUAAAGGUAAUCUUCCCAGGGUUAGUCGGAUCCUAAGGUGAGGGUGAAAGCCGUAACCGAUGGAAAACAGGUUAAUAUUCCUGUACUUGUUGUGUAGCGCGAUGGAGGGACGCAGGAAGAUAGGCGGGCCGGGUGUUGGAUAUCCCGGUGCAAGCGUGUAGGAAUAUCCGGUAGGCAAAUCCGCCGGACGAAUCUGAGACGCGAGUCCGUGGGCGCAAGCCCUGAAGCCGUUGAGUCUAUGCUGCCUAGAAAAGCUCCUAAGUUUAUCCACAGCAAUCCGUACCGCAAACCAACUCAGGUGGGUGGGAUGAACAAUCCAAGGCGCUCGAGAGAACUCUGGCCAAGGAACUCGGCAAAAUGACCCCGUAACUUCGGAAGAAGGGGUGCUCUCUAGGGUGACAUGUUUAACAUAUGAAGCCCCGGGGAGCCGCAGUGAAUUGGUGGUGGCGACUGUUUACUAAAAACAUAGGUCUGUGCGAAGUCCUAAAGACGACGUAUACGGACUGACGCCUGCCCGGUGCUGGAAGGUUAAAAGGAGGGGUCAGCGCAAGCAAAGCUCCGAAUUGAAGCCCCAGUAAACGGCGGCCGUAACUAUAACGGUCCUAAGGUAGCGAAAUUCCUUGUCGGGUAAGUUCCG
rnacentral:rRNA from 1 species